rnacentral:rRNA from 1 species
GAUGAACGCUGGCGGCGUGCCUAAUACAUGCAAGUCGAGCGAACAGACGAGGAGCUUGCUCCUCUGACGUUAGCGGCGGACGGGUGAGUAACACGUGGAUAACCUACCUAUAAGACUGGGAUAACUUCGGGAAACCGGAGCUAAUACCGGAUAAUAUAUUGAACCGCAUGGUUCAAUAGUGAAAGACGGUUUUGCUGUCACUUAUAGAUGGAUCCGCGCCGCAUUAGCUAGUUGGUAAGGUAACGACUUACCAAGGCAACGAUGCGUAGCCGACCUGAGAGGGUGAUCGGCCACACUGGAACUGAGACACGGUCCAGACUCCUACGGGAGGCAGCAGUAGGGAAUCUUCCGCAAUGGGCGAAAGCCUGACGGAGCAACGCCGCGUGAGUGAUGAAGGUCUUCGGAUCGUAAAACUCUGUUAUUAGGGAAGAACAAAUGUGUAAGUAACUAUGCACGUCUUGACGGUACCUAAUCAGAAAGCCGCGGCUAACUACGUG